UGGAGCUUUGUUAAUUUUUUUCCCCAACUCCUCCAUCACUGGCCAAGGUACCUCAGCCUCACUCUCCAGGCAGUGCAGAUCACCCAGCUGAGGAUUCCUGCAGGGAACAUCUUUGAAUCUCAGAAGAUUAUGAUACAUUUUUGCUUUUAUUUUUCUACUACACACUUAUUUUUUCCCCCAGAUCUGAUGGGACUGCUACAAAGACCCAAACUUUCAAACCCCUGUGCCCAUAACCAUGGCUGUAAGGCAUCUGUUGUUGGUGUCACCACUGGUCUGUGAGGUCACAGGUGCCUUCAAAUUUGGGAUGUCCCAAGGGCUUCAGCCCAGAGUGAAUGUUCCAGCUGAAGAGCAAGCAAACUUUGCUCCAAAAACUUUUCAAGACAAACCCCAGGGAUGUUCUCUGGCUGUGUUAGGAGUGUACAGCCUAGAGAACAGGAAAUAUAGCUUGUAUUUUUCUAUACAAAUAACCCUGCAGGAUAUUGAGGAAGGCAAUUCAACUUGCACUUAUUCCUGA
ensembl:lncRNA